GGUGACGCAGGAGUUAAGCGCUUGGCUGCCAACCAAAAGGCUGGUGGUUCGAACCCACCAGUCACUU
rnacentral:tRNA from 1 species